rnacentral:rRNA from 1 species
CAGUCGCCGCGGGAAUACGAAGGGGGCUAGCGUUGUUCGGAUUUACUGGGCGUAAAGGGCGCGUAGGCGGAUUUGUAAGUCAGGGGUGAAAUCCCGAGGCUCAACCUCGGAACUGCCUUUGAUACUGUGGAUCUUGAGUCCGGGAGAGGUGAGUGGAACUGCGAGUGUAGAGGUGAGAUUCGUAGAUAUUCGCAAGAACACCGGUGGCGAAGGCGGCUCACUGGUCCGGAACUGACGCUGAGGCACGACAGCGUGGGGAGCAAACAGGAUUAGAUACCCCUGUAGUCCCUGUCUCUUAUAC